rnacentral:lncRNA from 1 species
AUGUCGGGUCAGAAUGGUUCUUACCCGAAUCCUAACAGGUUCAAUACGAAUCACUCCGGUGAACUUUCCGGUUCAGUAGAUAGCUCACGUCGGUUCAAACCAGGCCAUACCAGGUCCCGGUCCGAUUCUCAACCGCUAAUCUACUCCGGUAGAGGCUCUGUAAAUUCCCCUGCUUUAAAUUCACUCCCCACAGGCAAUAUUUGCCCUUCAGGUAAAAUUUUAAAAACAGCUAUUCCAAGCAAAUCUUCAAAGAUGAUUCUCAACCGCUAAUCUACUCCGGUAGAAGCUCUGUAAAUUCCCCUGCUUUAAAUUCACUUCCCACAGGCAAUAUUU